AAUAGGUGUAGACAGUUGAACAGUAAAGUAUUAAACUUGAAACAUUCUCGUACAGCGGUGAAAGAUCCUGCCAUGAUGCAGACCAAACUGACUGGUUUGCUGUGGUGGGAAGAGGUGGCAUAACUCCAGUGGGUUUAGGUGACGCAAGAGUCGAUCUGUCCAAGAGCAUCAGAGAGGUUUCCUACUCUUUCUUGGUAUCAACCCAUUAAUAUCUUGUUUUUUACAUUCCAAUUUGGAAUUUGUCAUUUUUUUAGACUUUUUCAUAUCAAGAUUUCAACUGAGUAUGUCCGUCUCAAUUUUGACUUUUUGUCAUAAUUUUGACUUUUCGUCAUUUUUUUUUACUUUUUCAAAACUUUCGGACUUGGUCACAAUUUUGACUUUUUGACUUUUUUUUUAGGCUUUUUCAAAUAAUUUCGGACUUUGACUUUUCGUCUUUUUUUGGACUAUUUCAUGUCAAUUUCAACUGAGUAUGUCGGUCUCGAUUUUGACUUUUCGUCUUUUUUUUUGGACUUUUUCAUGUCAGUUUUGACUUUUUUCAUGUUUUGUACUUUUUCAUAUAAAUUUGUACUAUGAUGAUGUUUAUGAUAGUGAUGAUGAUGAUAAUGAUCAGUGAUGAUGAUUAUGAUGAUGAUGAUGUUCUCCUCUACAGGUCUCAGGAUGGUGUGUGAGCUGUUGCUCUCUUCUGUCUGGUUCCUCUUCGUGAUCUUCUGGCUGGAGACCAUCAGCGUGUGGCUCUUCCUGUGUCUGUACUAUCAGGACAGAGUCUUCUAUCACUGGGGUUCAGGGGAGUUUGCAGAUGAUCCGGAUCAGUUCCUCUAUGUGUUGAGCAGAAUCGAUCUUUCUGCGCAUAUGCAGACGUGAGGAAGUGAUGUCGUGGCGUGGGAGUGCCGUGCUUAGAGGACGUGGGUGAUGGACGGGAAGGGUCAGAGGUCACCGGUGAUGUCAUGUCUCGGAGGAUCCAGCUGAAGAGAAAGAGAGAGAGCUGAACUCAGAGUCUGGAGUUUCAGCAAUAUCAGAGAAUAAUAAUCAAUGAAAGCUUAGAGAUUUCUGCACAUGAUCAACCGUGAUCCGCUUUCCUGGAGCUGAUUUAAUCUUUUAAACUAGAGGGAACUUCACUUUAUAGAGCAUUAAUGUCUCAAGAUGAUAAAACUCUUCUAAUUAUUCGUUUUCUAUUUUUGUAUCAAUUUGUCCCUUUUUUGCCUGAUAAUAAAGCAGUUUUACAGUGAGGUUUUGUUUCUACUGGAGAAAAACUAAAUAAAAAGAUGCUUUACACACUCCGAUCAUUAUUAUUAUAUAUUCUCUUUCAUCACAAUAAUGUAACAGAACAGUUUGUCACAGAAUUUAUUAAACUUGUUUGUUGUUAAA